UGACUCGGACGCGAUUUGAACACGCAGCCUUCUGAUCUGGAGUCUGAGGCGCUACCGUUGCGCCACCGAGUC
rnacentral:tRNA from 13 species